AUUGAACGCUGGCGGCAGGCUUAACACAUGCAAGUCGAGCGAGCGGCGGACGGGUGAGUAAUGUCUGGGAAACUGCCUGAUGGAGGGGGAUAACUACUGGAAACGGUAGCUAAUACCGCAUACCAUCAGAUGUGCCCAGAUGGGAUUAGCUAGUAGGUGGGGUAAUGGCUCACCUAGGCGACGAUCCCUAGCUGGUCUGAGAGGAUGACCGGGCACACGGGAACAGAGACACGGUCCCACGGCCUACGGGAGGCAGCGGUGGGGAAUAUUGCAAAAUGGGCGCAAGCCUGAUGCAGCCAUGCAGCGUGUGUGAGGAAGGCCUUCGGGUUGUAAAGCAGUUUCAGCGAGGAGGCGUUACUCGCAGAAGAAGCACCGGCUAACUCCGUGCCAGCAGCCGCGGUAAUAC
rnacentral:rRNA from 1 species